rnacentral:rRNA from 1 species
AUACGUAGGUGGCAAGCGUUAUCCGGAAUUAUUGGGCGUAAAGAGUGAGCAGGCGGUUAAUUAAGUCUGAGGUUAAAGCGUGGGGCUCAACCCCAUAAAGCCUUGGAAACUGAUUGACUAGAGUACGGGAGAAGUGAAGGGAACUCCAUGUGUAGGGGUGAAAUGCGUAGAUAUAUGGAAGAACACCAGUGGCGAAGGCGCUUCACUAGCCCGAAACUGACGCUCAGUCACGAAAGCGUGGGUAGCAAAUAGGAUUAGAUACCCUAGUAGUCCACGCUGUAAACGAUGACAACUAAAUAUUGCCGCGAGGCAGUGUUGAAGCUAACGCAUUAAGUUGUCCGCCUGGGGAGUACGGUCGCAAGACUGAAACUUAAAGGAAUUGGCGGGG